UCCAUUGCUUUUGCAAGGAGUGUAAUUGACUUUGCAUAAUACACAGAAGAUUAGCAUGACUCUGCACAAGGAUGAUUUUGUAUCAAAUUUACUUUAACUUCUUUUU
rnacentral:snRNA from 1 species